rnacentral:rRNA from 1 species
UACGGAGGAUCCGAGCGUUAUCCGGAUUUAUUGGGUUUAAAGGGUGCGUAGGCGGAAAUGUAAGUCAGUGGUGAAAUCCUGCAGCUUAACUGCAGAACUGCCGUUGAUACUGAUAGUCUUGAGUUUGGUUAAGGUAGGCGGAAUGUGUAAUGUAGCGGUGAAAUGCUUAGAUAUUACACAGAACACCAAUUGCGUAGGCAGCUUACUGAGCCGACACUGACGCUGAGGCACGAAAGCGUGUGGAUCAAACAGGAUUA